AAUAUUGCACAAUGGGCGAAAGCCUGACGCAGCAUCGCCGCGUGAGUGAUGAAGGCCUUCGGGUCGUAAAGCUCUUUGAUCAGGGAGGAUAAUGACAGUACCUGAAUAACAAGCAACGGCUAACUACGUGCCUGCAGCCGCGGUAAUACGUAGGUGGCGAGCGUUGUCCGGAGUUACUGGGCGUAAAGGAUGCGUAGUUGGAUAAUUAAGUGGGAUGUGAAAACCCCGGGCUCAACCCGGGAACUGCAUUACAAACUGGGUAUCUAGAGUGCAGGAGAGGAAGGCGGAAUUCCUAGUGUAGCGGUGAAAGGCGUAGAUGUUAGGAGGAACACCAGUGGCGAAGGCGGCUUUCUGGACUGUAACUAACACUGAGGCAUGAAAGCGUGGGUAGCAAGCAG
rnacentral:rRNA from 1 species